GACGUCGUGGCCGAGUGGUUAAGGCGACAGACCAGAAUUGUUGACAAUCUGUUCCACUAUGUGGGCGUAGGUUCAAGUCCUACCGACGUCG